rnacentral:misc_RNA from 1 species
GAUUUUAUUUUUUAUGUUUUUAGAUGUUCAUGUUUUUGAAUGUUUUAUUCGAAUAAUAUAAAAAAUAAAAUAUAUAUUGACAUGGAUUAAACAAAGAUAUAUAUUAUUCUAUGUUGUAUAAACAAAUUGGCAAAAUAGAGAUGGAAGAUAAAAAUAUGGUCAAAGUAAUAAGAGUCUAUGGUGAAUGCCUAGGAGCUUUAAGGCGAAGAAGGUCGUGGUAAGCUGCGAAAAGCUUGGGGGAGAAGCAAACAUUUAUUGAUCCCAAGAUUACCGAAUGGAGUAAUCCAGCUAGCAAGAUGCUAGCUAUCUAUUAUUWAAWWAWWRARGSSAWWCCAGG